UUAAAAUUUAAAAUUUUAUUUUUUGAAAAUACAACACUGCCGUCAUAUUGUUUUUUAGGUUAAGAAAUUAAAUUGUGUAAUGUCAAAAACAAGUGAUUGUAACGCACAGUAUUUAUAAUUGUGCUAAAAUUAAUAUUUUAUUUAAAUGAACAAAAUUGUACAGAAAAUAAAACAAAAUUAUAAAUUAUAUAAUAAUUCCGAGCACCUAUAACACUUGUCAGUUUCGAAAACUACCUCAGAAAAUGGCUAAAUACUUAGCACAAAUCAUCGUGCUCGGCGGACAGGCAAUUGGUAAAGCCUUUGCCAAAGCUUUACGACAGGAAUUUGCUGUAUCACAGGAAGCCGCAAGGCGUGGAGGUGGUGGCCGAGAGGGCAGAAAAAGAGCAGAAACAAAUGCGAGGACGGGCAUGACACUUGAGGAAGCAAAACAAAUUUUAAAUGUUAAUGACUUGAAAAACUUGGAAGACAUUGUAAAAAAUUAUGAACAUCUUUUCAAAGUAAAUGAAAAAUCAAAUGGUGGUUCAUUCUAUCUGCAAUCGAAAGUUUUCCGGGCGAAAGAACGUAUCGAUGCAGAAUUACAAAAUUUAAAAGACUCUAGCAGGCAGAAAGAAGAUCCAACGGACAAACGAUGAAAUCUAGCCAAUUUAGUGAUUUAGUUGUAUAAUAGAAUAUUUAAAUUAAUACCAAAAUUUAACAAAUGAAACUGACAAGGAUACACUUUUCUACUGGUGCUUAGCAAACGAUUCGAAGAGAAAGUGUCAACAUUAUCGCACAUAAGAGAGUGAGAAUUGCAUAUAACUGACAGAUGUGUAAACACAUAGUGCGGAUUAACACUAACUUUAGUUAACCAUUCUUCAUCAUUAGUCGAUAUGUCAUGAAAUAAUACUAGUGUUAAAGUAAAAUUCUAAUGUAUUUAUGCGUUAAUGUUUAUAC